UGGCUUAUCCUAGGACAUUGAAUAUAAUUCCCUGUGCUAUACAGUAGGACCUUGUUGUCCAUCCAUUCUCUAUGUAAUGUAGCUACAAUGCCAGAUGUCCAGUUCAGUAUGGGGCCCAGGGAGAGUUAGGCCACGGCACUGGCCCUCAUUUCCACAGCUAGAAGGAGGCAACCCUGGGGCUGGGACUCAGUCUACCUGGGCCCACACCACCUUGCAGCCAGGGCCGCCUGACUGCCACCCCCAGCCCAUCGCAUUUGCUUGGGUCCCCAUCAGCCAGAGUGGGAAGAGCAUCAUCUCAGCAGAUAAUCCUGCCUGCACUUCCCCAGUCAUGACUCAUCUCAGGACACACCCCUCACUCAGCACAUCCCAGCCCUGCAUUCUUUUCCCUUCUCUGAAUGUGCUAAAUCCCUCCCAUCUCAGGGCCUUUCCCCAUGCGGGUCCCCUGCUGGAAAGUUCUUCAGCCUUACAGGCUGAAUCUCUCUCCAUAGAAAACUGAAAGCUCUAUACAUGUUUCUGAGGAUCAUCUGUCUGUUUUCUCCACAUUUAGUAGUAACUGGUACAGAAUAAGUACCUAGAAAUGGCCCAGGCUUUAGGUGUUCUUUCCUGUCAGCCUGAGUAGAAACUUGUGCAGGGACUCGUGAGCUGGGAAAGCUUCCAACACUGCCAUGCAAUUUUGGAUUUCUCCAGAAAUCCAUGUUAUCUUUGUACCACCACAGAAUGAAAAGCCAAGGGGACACGUUACUAAGCAACUAUGAAAGUUCUAAAUAGUUGUUUACAAACAAAAGAGACAAGUAGAAUUUCUGUAACAUACUGAAUUUCUGAACAGCACUCAUUUAUUUCUUUCAUACAGUGUCAUUGAAAGACCUCCCUGGAAGAAGAUCCUAUUCACAAAAGCAACCAAAGCAGGUGGAGUUGCUGUGCCUGUGCUCCAUGUUUGAUACCUGAAUAGUCAACACCUCAAGGGAAAUAGGAGGAGCUCUGGUGGUAACACAGACCUGACCAGCCUAGGUCAGCAUCCCUGGAGAAUAGCAGAUUCUGUAUGCCUGUCUUUAAAGGCAGGUAAAUGUCUGGAAAGAUACACACGUGUUAGCAGUGGUUUCCUACAGGUAAAGGAGCUGUACAGUAUUCCAUUAUAUGGACGCACCAUCUGUUACUGGACACUUGGAUAUUUCCUGUCUUUUGCUUCUACAAAUAAUGCUUCAAGGACUCCUGCUGAACAUACACUUUGCAUGGAUGUAUAAUUUUAUCUGUAUAAUAAAUUUUUAGAACUUGAAUUGUUGGGGUCAUAAUUUUGAUAGAUAAUUGCCAGACUGCCCUUCCAAGAACAUAUGAGAGUUCCUUUUUUUCCCAUACUCCUGUCAACAGUAUUAUUAU